CAGACUUUGAUUUAAGGAUUUUGAACAAAUGAGUAGGGCAGGGUCAUCUAGGUCUUUGUAAAAAUGUACUUAUAGCCUUGCAAAGUACUGCCCUCUUCUCAGGGGAAAAUACAAUUCUGUUUUGCCUAGAAAUGGGAUAAUUGUUUCACAUUCUUUUUUUUAUCUCCAGCAACUCACAGGCUGGAGAUAAAGAUCAAGACAUGUUAUCUUACAAGAUUCCUGACAAAUUUGUGCUUGGCUAAAUUCCCUGACCUAGAAUGUCCAAGCUGAGAAUAUCUCAGCAUGGUUUUGCUGCUGCAAGGCUCUUUAGCUGCUGGCCUGACAUGGUUUCUGGUUUACUUCUGACUACCAUCUCUAUCUUCCCCUAGUAUCCUCUUAUUUUCCAGUUUUCCUCCCUUAUUUCCUCAUUUGCUUCCUUGUUAUUCCCUAUGUUAUUCUCUAUUCCCUUUUUACAUUUCUCAGACAUCCUUUUCUCUUGUGGACCCAAGAAGGAUACUGCACUGCAAUGACAUACAGUCUAUUUGCCAAGACAGUGAAAAACAGAUGGAUAUGAGGUGCAAGAAGACUAAGAAGCAGAAUGGAAAAAGACAACUCCGAUGGAUACAGGACUUUUCACUGUCUGUGCCGACCAGAGACUCACGUCUCUUCCCACAGCGCAGAAUUAGCCAUUUUAAAGUUACUGGCUACAAAAGAGCUCACAGUGAGUUGACAUGCAUGUUAUAGCAUCUUGGAAUCUCUGUAGCUACUACUGUUUGGUGUUGCCACUGCCCACAUGUUCAGUAUUCUCAGUAGAAUCAGAGGUAGCAGGGAAAGCAAGACCAUGUAGAAGUGGACUGUGCACUGUAUCCUCAUCACUUCUCUUAUCAGCAUGACUUCCCAUGACAUUAUAGCUAUUUACGGCAGUCAGUCAUCAAAGGAUACCAUACAUACCAUCCUCUCUAUUGAGGACCAGGAAACCAUUUCUUCUUCAUGAAGAGCCUUGCCUUUUUAUUUUUAUUUUAUAUUUUUUGUAUUUUUUUAAGUGGUAAUUUUAAUAUAGGCUUGAGCAAAGGAAGCACAUAAAACUAAGCAUGUUAUUUGGCUCAUAGCUUUGAACAAGGUACAACCCCCCUCAGUGCAACUUGCCUAAAAUGAUCACAUUUCCCUGAAAAAUCUCAAGAUUCUGUCUUAAGAUUUUUCUUGUUUUGUUUUGUUUUUCCACACAAGUUACAAUGCUCAUUUAAGAGACCAUGAUCCUACCAAGAACGAUCACCUACAGAAAAUUAUAAUUUCAAAUAGUCAAGUCAGGAUAUCAUCCAUCCUGUUGAUCUCAUUAUUCUUUAUCUUUGUGCAAUCUUCUCAUUAGUAUAAGUGGAAAACCAUGAAGCACAUAUUCUGUCUUAAAUAAUCUAAGUACUAAAAAGUCCA
rnacentral:lncRNA from 1 species